UACGUAGGGUGCAAGCGUUAUCCGGAUUUACUGGGUUUAAAGGGUGCGUAGGUGGGUAAGUAAGUCAGUGGUGAAAUCUUCGAGCUUAACUCGGAAACUGCCAUUGAUACUAUUUAUCUUGAAUACUUUGGAGGUAAGCGGAAUAUGUCAUGUAGCGGUGAAAUGCUUAGAUAUGACAUAGAACACCAAUUGCGAAGGCAGCUUACUACACAGUUAUUGACACUGAGGCACGAAAGCGUGGGGAUCAAACAGG
rnacentral:rRNA from 1 species